AGGAAGAGGAAGAAGAAGGGAUGAGUGGAAAAGUGUCUCAGUCAGAUCAGCAGCAGCUCUGCAGUUUGAUGUUUUCAUCUGAAGAUGCUCAGCUUCAUGUUCUUCUGUCACGCCUGGCUCCUGCUAACUGUUCUGACUGCCGGCACUGAAUCCUCCACAGGUACAGUGAUCCGGUUUUCAGUCCCGGAGGAUCACCACGUCCGCCUGCCCUGUGGCGGCACUCACACCUUGGAUGUGGUCUGGACUCAUCAGGAACGGAGGGUCCCGGUGACCCGGAAGGGCGACUACGAGACCAACGACGACCCCCAACGCUACUCUCUGCUGUCGGACGGCAGCCUCCACCUCCUGAGGCUCGACGACUCGGACAGUGGAGAGUAUCACUGCAACCAGCAGCUGGUGGCCGAGCUGCAGGUGCUAACAGGUAAUGACUUCAUCGUGUCUGCAGGCCGGACGCUGCUGCUCCCCUGCAGCAGCUCCCCCAAACCCAGACUGAGGUGGUUCUACCGGAGGGACGGCGGGAAGCGGGAGGUGAUCUUCACCUUGUUCAGGAACGGCACGAUGAAACCGGAGAGGGAGGGAGGAGGCCGGCUCAGCUACGACAACGACGCCCUGCAGAUCGAAGACCUGCAGCUAGAGGACGCUGGUCAGUAUCAGUGCAGCGGACAGCCGUGGACCAGAGUCAUCGUCAUGACAGUUCACCCGGAGCCAACCAGCAUCCAUGAAACCACGAGCACAACCACAACACCUGCUGUGAUGAAUACAGACGUGGUGGAAACAAAGAAGAAGGAGAAGAAGAGGUCUGAGAACGCUCUGCUGAUCGCUGCUGUUGUGGGUUUGGGGUUAAUGAUCGUCCUCAUGGUUGCUGUCUGCAUCUUACUGACCAGCAUGAAGUGCAGGAGGAAGAGGAUGAAGAGGAUAUACGAGAGCGUUGGUAGGUGGUCUGAGAUACGGAGAGUCAAAAGUGUCUGAAUUUCUAUAUUUGGCACAAAUGAAAACACACAUAAUGUUACAUAAUCUGAGACUCUUGACCCCCAUUAGAGGUUACCAAGGCCAGCCCUGUGAAAGAGGCCUUCUUCUUCUGUUUCAGCUUCACAGAGACCCGAAGACACCGAGCUGCAGCCCUGGAAGAUGUCCAGCGCUCAAACUGAGCGUGAGGCGUACAAGAGUCCAUCUGUGCCGGAGGAGACGCUCCAUUAUGCCUCUCUGGGCCGGCAGAACUGGAGGGAGAGACCCACCAGGACUCCACCGGACCAGAACCACCACAACGUCAUCUACUCUU